rnacentral:rRNA from 1 species
AUACGUAGGGGGCAAGCGUUGUCCGGAAUCAUUGGGCGUAAAGAGCGCGUAGGCGGUUCGGUAAGUCUGCUGUGAAAGUCCAGGGCUCAACCCUUGGAUGCCGGUGGAUACUGCCGGGCUAGAGUCCGGAAGAGGCGAGUGGAAUUCCUGGUGUAGCGGUGAAAUGCGCAGAUAUCAGGAGGAACACCGAUGGCGAAGGCAGCUCGCUGGGACGGUACUGACGCUGAGGCGCGAAAGCGUGGGGAGCAAACAGGAUUAGAUACCCUGGUAGUCCACGCCGUAAACGAUGGUCACUAGGUGUGGGAGGUGUCGACUCCUCCGGUGCCGUAGCUAACGCAUUAAGUGACCCGCCUGGGGAGUACGGCCGCAAGGCUAAA